GCCCAGGUAGCUCAGCUGGUAGAGCAACGGACUGAAAAUCCGUGUGUCGGUGGUUCAACUCCGCCCCUGGGCACCA
rnacentral:tRNA from 2 species